rnacentral:rRNA from 1 species
UACGUAGGGGGCAAGCGUUGUCCGGAUUUAUUGGGCGUAAAGAGCGUGUAGGCGGCCAGACAGGUCUGCUGUGAAAUCCCCUCGGCUCAACCGGGGAAACUGCAUUUGAAACUGUUCGGCUCGAGUCCGGGAGAGGGUAGUGGAAUUCCCAGUGUAGCGGUGAAAAUGCGUAGAUAUUGGGAGGAACACCGGUGGCGAAGGCGGCUACCUGGACCGGUACUGACGCUGAGGCGCGAAAGCGUGGGGAGCAAACAAGGAUUAAGAAA